GGUUGAUACACACCGUCUCCCAUCUGUUCGUGAAGAGAGAGAGCACCUGCGCGCGCCUUUCUCUUUCUGUUUCACUUGAUCGUUGGUCUGUGGCUUGUGCGUGGACUCGUCCCCCUGUCCCUGCAUCUUAGUCAUCACGGGCACGCAGCGCGCGUGCGCAGACACGCACCAGCACAGUGACUCCCCAACCACGUCCCCACACCCACAGGCAAACACACACGCACGCCAGUGAAGCGUUCUUCGACGGCACACGCACAUAAGCAUACACAUACACACGAACAAAGAACCCCCUUCCCUCCCUCACAAAAAGGGAAACUCGCAAGCGUUCAUAUCUUCCCAUUUCUUCUUCCUCCCCCCUACCACUUCAUACACCAUUACCAGCAAGCCCCCCCCGUCUCUUUGUCUCUCCUUUCUCCAGCUAUUUUUGAUUGUCUUCCUCUUGAAGUGUCUAAGCAGGUCAAGAGCGCGCCGCACACCUCGAACCCUCGCUCUCCAACACCUGAGUUUGUGCAUGUAUGUGUGCAUGUUGGUGUGUGGGUGUCUGCGUGUACUCUUCAGAUUUUCCUCUUUCGUUUCUUUUUUCUCUCUGUCACUCUCUUCGUCUUGUGUUUUCUGUGUGUGUUGUGUGUGUUUCUGGUGGUGUUGGUGCCUGUCCUCUCCAUCAGGCUACUUGGCGUGCGUUUGCCUGUACGUUUCUCUGCUCUUUUCUUUUUGUGUGUGGGCGGUGGUGGUGGUGGUAUUUGUCUCUCGUUUUCGUUUCUCCGGUCCAUCCCUACUUUCAUUGUGUGUGAUUCUUUUUCCGCUUGCGCUCUUUCAUGCACGCACUCUUUUCCUGCUGCCUCCAUCACGCCUCCUCCUCCUCUCUCUUGCUCUGUCACUAUCGCGGCGCCUGUGAGAGAUCACCCCGCCCACCCACCCCUUUCUAUUAAUUUCUCGUUGUCUUCUCGUUUCUCACACCCCGUCGUGCUGUGGCUCUCUUGCUUCGUUGUUCUCUCCAUUUUUUUCGUCUUUUAUUGGCCCCCCCCCUUCUGCUACUGUCUUUCUUUCUCUUCCGAGUGGGUGCGCAUGUGAGUCUUCAUCGCCCCCCUUUGCCUUCCCCGCACUUCCUGCCCUCUCUUUCCUUCAACUCCGCCACUCUACCUCUGCGUGCGGGCCUCGCGUUAUCGCUGCCUGUUCCUGUGUUUUACUUCCCUUCCCCCUCCCUCUUUUAUCGCGACGGCAAACGUUUUUCGUUGCGCUGUGGUUUGGUAAAGCGGACCGCUGGGGAACGGUUUGGCGCGUACUCGGUCCUCGCUGUCCCGAGUGCUGCUUUGCCGUCGUCCGGAGCGCGCACAUCACCCAUCGCCUCCAGAAGCGCCGCACACACAUUACGCACCGCAAUACAUACACGCGCACGCCAGGUGAAAAAAGGGGUAUGCGCCAUGGAUGGCGACCGCUACAUCUACUCUCGUCCUGUGGCGGUGACGGAGGACCGAAUCAAGGAGGCCUUAGAGAAGCAGGCAAAGCAGAAGGCUCUCAAGGCGGCGCUUGAUCGGCAAGUGCGGGAGGCCGAGCGGCUGAAGGCGGAGAAGCACCGUGCCAAAGGAAAGCAGGACAAGCGGUGGGGUGACCCCAAGGUGAAUGUGCCGCCGACCUCUUCUUCGGCGAAUGCGGAGAACAAAACGCAGACCGCCUCCACGGCGGUCGCAGCAUCUGUAGCCGGCCCUUCUCCCCCGACGAUGGGCACCACAGUUGCCCCGGGGGCUGUUGAAUCCACUCGAUACAACUUCUCCUUCCGCAAAGGCCAAGGAACAUUUGAAGUGGAUGGCUCCCCUGCACGUCGCCUCCGGACUACGUUCCAGACAUCUGCAGAAGCGCGUGAGCGCGGCGGUGGUGCUGCGCCUCCGGGAACCGGUGGUGAAAACGGCAAAGCUCCCGCGCCUCGAGGACGUCGGCAGCCAGCAUCGCGCGACGCCAGCAGCGGCGCGGGUCCGUGCAACACUCGUGGCAGCAGGUCAACGGCUGCCGCAAACGGCGGUGAAUACCAAACGAACUCGCUGCCUAUAAACUUUAGCAUGACAAAGGAGGGCGCAGGCAAGAAGGCGCCGCCGCUCGAGCGCCGCCCAAGCGACUGUGGUCGACUCACUUGUGGCACGUCGGGAGAGCGCGGUGGCGGCAGCGACGCAAGUGGGCACAGCAGGAACAAAGGUAAUGGCGGCUACGAUACGCAGUCUUUACCGACAGAGCUCAUCUACAAGUUGGGGCAAGCUAGCAGCAACGCCGCCGUGGCCAAGCCGUCGCUGCGUCGUGUCACGACCCCUUUGCGGGCCCCGUCUAGCGGCCGCACGUCAGAGCCGCGCGGGCACCAGUCGCCACUGGGCCUUCUAACCGGUGCCGUGUCUGGCAGCCCCAUGACGGCAGGCCGAGAAAACUUCAAAUCACCUCUCAAUGACUGCACGAAAAGCCCUGACUAUGCUGGCGUUGGAGGCGCUCACCCUCGCUUGUCACCUGGCGGCGGCUUGAAGGCCGUGCCGCGGGUGCUGGGCAGCGGUGGCGGCACUCCGAAUGCGAAGGCUCUGGGCGCCCGGUAUGUGUCACCGCGUCCGACUGCCCGACUGGCUGGUGGCAUCCUCCCUCCGCUCAACCCUCACAACGACUCUGACGUGAUUGAGAUGUCCGCCGUGCUCGACGUGGUGACGCCUACGCGCGAGUACAGCGUUAUUGGCACCGCGACCGGUGCACUCAGCGGCCGCACGCCUGGUAGCGCAGCACCACCACUGCCUUGCAAGCGGACGAACAGCACCCCUGCCGAGCGACCUGCACGUCGAUCGCCUCCGGAGUCCCCGCAUGCUGCCGCGGCAGCGGAGCAGGAGCGUAAACAGGCAGAGCGAGAGAAGGCGUGGGCGCAGCAGGUGAAGCAGAUCAAAGCAGAACUGCGAAAGACACGCGCGAAGGGGCCGGGCAAGGGCGGUAUGAAGCUUGAGGACCGGGGGGCUAUGAGCAAUAUUCCACGGCGUGCCGAGACGGCACCAGACCCAGCACCGCAUCCACCAAUGCGGGGAGCCCUCGGCGGCGCAGCAGGGGGUGGUGCCAGUGGUGCUGGCGGUGCUCAUGGUCGAAACGGUGCUGGUGGUGGGGGCAAGGGCAACGUUGGUGGCGGUCGCUCACACCAGGUAGAGAAGAUGGACUUCGCGAAGGCGCACAUCUUCACACGCGAGAACUUUCGGCCGAUCACCGCCCCUGAGGAUGCCACCUCCUACUUUGGAAUGCUGUCGCCGCCUCCCUCGCUCCCACCGCUGGCGCUGGCACCAAAAUUCAAGUCCCGUGAGCAGGCGCGGUCGAGCAGCGAGUCAGUCAGGGAAGCGGAGAGAAAAGAGGAGGCGAUCGGAACCGAGGCGGCCUCCUCGCCAAGCAUCAACGGCAUUCACACCUUUGCGAGCACCGGCACCUCAGGCGAAGAGUCACUAAAGCUGGCGUCGCUGACGACACGUCAAGUGACGCUGGGACUGCCAGACUAUGGCGACAGCGAUCCCGUACCCAUCCAGUUCAACCACCUCCUAGAGUUUGUUGAGGCUCAAAUUAUCACGGCGAGUCAAGCGGAGAACUUGUGGGACUUCUUUUCUGCGUCGGCGGAUGUGGCGCGUGGCGGUGGAAGCGGCAGCGAUGCUGGACGUGCGGGGUCGUCGUUUUCAGUCAGUAGCGCGCGGGACAUGUGGGGCCGUGCGGCGCGUGGCGACGUGAACGGCGCCGUGGGCGAGGGGAAGCCGAGCACAUUAGAGAUAGAGGCGGUCGACGAGCGACCCGCGGCGAGCGGCGUCGGCGCCACCAAGGGCGACGAGAACGUCAAAGGUGACAACGGAAGAGUCUUUUACGUCCCGUACUCUCCUUCGCAGCUUCCGACUUCCGCCGUACUGGCACCGGCACUGCGCCGCAAGAUCAGUCAGCAGCACUCGGAGCAGGAGGCAGCGCGGUUGCAUCAGCCAUACAAACCACUGCAAAACGGCCGUCCUUGGCGAAGCUCGUCUGGCGCUGGCGGCAGAGGAGCAAGCGGUGGCCCAGGUGACGGGGAUAGCGGGCAACGCACAGCACCACACAUAGCGCGGGGGUUGCAGAAUCAUUUUUCGACCGCAGCCGAGCCUGGUGACAAAGGCGGUGACGAGGGUCACGGAGGUGCUAACAUGUUCGACACGUUCUCCGAACUGGUACUGCCCACCGACCUGAAAGAUGAAGACAACGGCUAAAGUGCGCUUGUUGUCUCCUUUCCGACGAUGCAUGCUGGAACGCGUUGUGCUAGUAAUCCUACCUCCAACAGCCACGUGCUGCGCACCGGUUGUGCUUGCGCUCUUCCGUUUCUCUCGCUGUUGUCGAGUGCUGCCUCUCUCUCCUUUUGUGAUGUACGCAUAUAUAUAUAUAUAUAUGUGUGUGUGUGUGCGUGUGUGCAUGUGUGUUUGUGUUUGAGUGACGACUGCCGUGGGUUGUCCCUGAGGACACUGCUGCCACGAGUGGGCGACCGCGUGCCUCUCAUUGCCUCGUCUUCGGUGCUCUUCUCCUCCGCACACUACGCCGACUUCUCCGUUCAUGUGUUGCGCGUGACUCACUGGAAGAGGUGAUGCCGAGCGAGUGUCUUUGCACACGAAUUCGAAUGUUUAAUUGCGAAUAGAGCUGAAGUGCAGAGUGGAGCAGGUGCGACAGCAGCACUCUGACUCCAUUAUGUUUAAUAAACAGCCCCGCAGGCAUGCGGUGCGUACUUCUGAGACAGUGUGCAGACAUUUCUUGCGGCCAUUUCCCAACCCUUAUUUCUCGAUGUUCUUGGAGGUGCUGUACACCUUUUUGGGCCGCUGCUCUCUCACGCGCGCACGCAAGCACAGGCACGUACAUGCAGACGUCUCACUUCCUUCGUUCUUUUGGCGAGUGGCGAAAGUGGGAAGAGAAUCAAGCAAAAAGGAGGAGGAGCAAGAAAACAGGCAAGCACGCUGUCUCUGACUCUCUCCGACUCCACCCGUUGCGGCCGCAGUCCCCUUACCAACUCGUGCAGCGUUCCGCGCUCUUCAUCCCGCCCUCUCUUCUCUUUGCGUUGUGGUGAGAGAGCCCUCGAAGUGGCGGAUGGGCGCUGAGCCAGCUUUUCGUUGCGUGAGAGGCGGGAAAGGGUGUGCGGGAUGGAGAUUAGCGCGCGUUCAUGUACGGCCUCUCUCGAGUUUGCUAGGUACGACUGCAAACUAAUGUACUGCACCGUAACGCUCCCCCUUCGCUCUUUUCCUCCUCUUCUGCUCCCGUUAUUGAUCUCCUCCAUAUAUGCUUGCUUUCCUCUGGUGUGCAUGUGUGUCGGUUGGCCCGCUGGGGCCACGUUCAAAACCCGUCGCGCACCCUUCUUCCUGUUCAUGUUCUAAG
rnacentral:misc_RNA from 1 species